UUUCCUUCAAUUUGACGUCACGAUUUUCGUCGACGCAGUUUGACAGUUCUCUUCAGUUGGUCUUGUUUGUACUUGAUCAAAUUAGAGAAACUUUGAACCGAAUCGAACCAGUUUACGUUGUUGAAAAGUUCGUGUGGAUUUUUGCCGGUUGAUUGAUUUCCUGAUUUCGGCCUUCGUGGUGGAGGAGGAGGAGAACGGGUCACAUCGUUGCUCCGGCGGGCCAUACCGGAAGACGGAAAGGGAAGCACCCGGUCUGUGAUCGAGGAAGCGGAUUGGUGUUUAACUUUCCGCGGGAGGUGGCGGUGCAUGGUUUUUAUACGGUAACCAAAAAUAUUCCAAUCGAAUCCUGCUGACAACCCAGCGUUUCCGUAUUGUCCCACGGAACGGAAGCUGUAACGAUCGCAAAAACACCUGCACUGGAAGUGCGUAAACCAACGUUGUCCCGUAGGCCAUCAAUCUGUGGGAAUUAAAUGGAAGCGCCGCUCCAGUGCCGUAUCUACACGCUGGCGUCGACUCCAAAAGAUGGCUGACAAAGUCCGGCCAAGAUGCCGAAGCGACGAGAUGAGCUGAAAGGCCAACCGGAAGACAACGCCAAAAACCACGUGAAGAUCGCGACACACAACAAGAAAAAUUAAUGAAUGUUUGUGAAAUGGAGUGAAAAAGAUUAAUUAACAGAAAAAAUACAUCUAAAAAUAAUUUAAAACAUUUUUUCUUUUAUUUUUACUGCAACAUAACCUAAAAAACAGCACACGACAAAGGCAAGACAACCUAAAUAACAAAACCGUGCGACGUCGGUCGAAUGUCGUACGACAAUGUCGAACAAUUUCGAUGAUCGAUCGCACGACAAAUACGACAUUUUGGUGCAAAAACGUAUGACAUUCGUGCGAAAGUCGCACGACAUUGUCGUGCGACGUCGUACGAUUGCACGGACGACAAACGACGGAC